CGGGUCGUAGCGCAGAGGCAGGCGCGUCGCACCGGCAGGGCGGUCACGUCGGUUCGAAUCCGACCACCCGG
rnacentral:tRNA from 1 species